GGAGUAUCCCCUUUGCAGUUGCGUACAGCAGCCAUGGCGUUACUACGUCAUGGAUCAAGAAUGCCAGCAAAGCGCCGAGAAGAAUUAAUAACGAUUGUCAGGAACUAUUAUGGUGGACGGGAAGUUUCUGAUGAAGAUCUGGAAAGAGCUUUGUUAAUUGGGAUUAGUACUAAUAGGAGAAAGCGAUUUGAGAAAAAGAGAAUGUUAGCUUGCAAAGAUUCUAA
rnacentral:misc_RNA from 1 species